CACAAGCGGAGGAGCAUGUGGUUAAUUCGAUGAUACGCGAGGAACCUUACCUGGGCUCGAACGUAAGAUGACUGUAGGUGAAAGCUUACAUCUCUUCGGAGCAUUUUACGAGGUGCUGCAUGGUUGUCGUCAGCUCGUGCCGUGAGGUGUCGGGUUAAGUCCCAUAACGAGCGCAACCCCUACCUUUAGUUGCCAUCAGGUAAUGCUGGGGACUCUAAAGGAACUGCCUACGCAAGUAGUGAGGAAGGCGGGGAUGACGUCAAAUCAGCACGGCCCUUACGUCCAGGGCUACACACGUGCUACAAUGGCCGAUACAGAGGGCAGCUACCUGGUGACAGGAUGCAAAUCUCCAAAGUCGGUCUCAGUUCGGAUCGGAGUCUGCAACCCGACUCCGUGAAGUUGGAUUCGCUAGUAAUCGCGCAUCAGCCAUGGCGCGGUGAAUACGUUCCCGGGCCUU
rnacentral:rRNA from 1 species